GCGCUCGUAGCUCAGUGGAUUAGAGCGAUUGCUUGCGGAGCAAUAGGCCGCAGGUUCGAGUCCUGCCGGGCGCACCA
rnacentral:tRNA from 1 species